rnacentral:sRNA from 21 species
UAAUGUAGACAGAAAAAGGGAAGCCCCGCUAGAACAGGACUUCCCAUGUAGAGCCGUUAAAGACGGUGGCAGAUUUUAACGAUAUUUAAUA